UAUCACUAAGCGGAGGAAAAGAAACUAACCAGGAUUCCCCUAGUAACGGCGAGUGAACGGGGAUCAGCCCAGCACCGAAGCCUGCAUCUAUUUGGGUGUAAGGCACUGUGGUGUUUAGGUGAUCACAUGUUGAUUCCUCUACUGUCCCAAGUCCAGUAAUGAAUAUGGCUAUAUUAAUGGCCCAAAGAGGGUGAAAGGCCCGUGGGGGCGGUAUUAGUAGGUUUUGACUUGUGAUCUCCUUGGAGUCGGGUUGUUUGUGAAUGCAGCCCAAAUUGGGUGGUAGACUCCAUCUAAGGCUAAAUACUGGCACGAGUCCGAUAGCGAACAAGUACCGUGAGGGAAAGUUGAAAAGAACUCUGAAGAGAGAGUAAACAGUACGUGAAACCGCUUAGAGGUAAACGGGUGUAGUCAAGCUGCAAGCCCUAUGGGGAUUCAAUCGAUCAGUAUGACGUGAGCAUGAGCACACAUGUUGGCUUGUAAAGUUUGCUUAAACUGGUAAGCCUAAUUCUGCAUAGGAUUAGGUAUUUGUGUGACAUAUGGUCAUUGAAUGCUUUACUCGACCCAACUACUGAUCGGUGCACUUCCUCAGGGUGUAAGCCACGACCGCCGUUGCUGUCGGUCUGCUGAAAUCAACUGAUUUGAUUAAAUUGUAAAACAGUUUAAUUAGACUGGGUUGGCAGGUGAUUUAAUGCUGUAUGCCUCUUGUAGGCAUUACAGUGUUAGAUGUUAUAGCCGAUUUCAGUGGCAAUUAAAACUGUACAGUACGGUGGAGGUAUAUCGACGUGUUGGUAAUGGUAGAUGUGCUAUAGUCUGUCGGCGUGUAAUAAAUUUGAUUAUUUGUUGUCGAGGCUAUGUCUUCGACCUGGUAAUAGUUUAUUCACGGUGUUAUGGACGGCGGCAUCUACUAACCAAUCUGCUAACCAUGCAGAUUUAGGUUUGUAUGGUUGGUGGAAAUUAUCGUCUAUAGUCUGUGGCGUAGUGGUAGACGAUCCACCCGACCCGUCUUGAAACACGGACCAAGGAGUUUAACAUGUACGCGAGUCAAUGGGUGUGAAUUUCACAUUACACGAAACCCAGAGGCAUAGUGAAAGUAAAGGUUUUGAUUAUUACAAAUAUAAUAUAUACUUUAUUAUAUAGAUGUAACAGUUUAUGUAAUAGAGUAUAUAUGUUAUUUGAUAAUAAUCAUACUGAGGUGAGAUCUUAUUGGAUCGUAGGCUGAUCUGAUCAUGCAUUAGACCGAUAGGCGCAUCACCGGCCCGUCCCAUGGUGUAUUUCACCGGGGCGGAGCAAGAGCGUACAUGUUGAGACCCGAAAGAUGGUGAACUAUGCUUGCGCAGGUUGAAGCCGGAGGAAACUCUGGUGGAGGACCGUAGCGAUUCUGACGUGCAAAUCGAUCGUAUGACGUGAGUAUAGGGGCGAAAGACUAAUCGAACCAUCUAGUAGCUGGUUCCCU
rnacentral:rRNA from 1 species